CGAACUCUUCGGAGUUAGUGGCGGACGGGUGAGUAACACGUGGGAACGUGCCUUUAGGUUCGGAAUAACUCAGGGAAACUUGUGCUAAUACCGAAUGUGCCCUUCGGGGGAAAGAUUUAUCGCCUUUAGAGCGGCCCGCGUCUGAUUAGCUAGUUGGUGGGGUAAUGGCCCACCAAGGCGACGAUCAGUAGCUGGUCUGAGAGGAUGACCAGCCACAUUGGGACUGAGACACGGCCCAAACUCCUACGGGAGGCAGCAGUGGGGAAUCUUGCGCAAUGGGCGAAAGCCUGACGCAGCCAUGCCGCGUGUAUGAUGAAGGUCUUAGGAUUGUAAAAUACUUUCACCGGUGAAGAUAAUGACUGUAGCCGGAGAAGAAGCCCCGGCUAACUUCGUGCCAGCAGCCGCGGUAAUACGAAGGGGGCUAGCGUUGCUCGGAAUUACUGGGCGUAAAGGGAGCGUAGGCGGACAUUUAAGUCAGAGGUGAAAUCCCGGAGCUUAACUUCGGAACUGCCUUUGAUACUGGGUGUCUUGAGUGUGAGAGAGGUAUGUGGAACUCCGAGUGUAGAGGUGAAAUUCGUAGAUAUUCGGAAGAACACCAGUGGCGAAGGCGACAUACUGGCUCAUUACUGACGCUGAGGCUCGAAAGCGUGGGGAGCAAACAGGAUUAGAUACCCUGGUAGUCCACGCCGUAAACGAUGAUUGCUAGUUGUCGGGAAGCUUGCUUCUCGGUGACGCAGCUAACGCAUUAAGCAAUCCGCCUGGGGAGUACGGUCGC
rnacentral:rRNA from 1 species